CCUGCCCCUAGAGGUGUUUCAGGUAUGGCUGUUGCAUCAUGUGUGGGUCAGUAGGUGGCAAAGAGGAGAGAGCCUAAGUUUUGGCUCAGUGUUCUGACCUAUGGAUUUCGGAAUGAUAAGUAGCCUAACACA